rnacentral:lncRNA from 1 species
AAGUAAUUGACCUCUCUUUGGUUUUGGUGGAAGGAAUCAUAAUCUAUAGCAGUGACGCAUCUGUCUGUCUGCCAUGCGCUUCUUGCAAGGAAACACAAAACUGCUAAGGACUCUUGCAUUUCAGAAUAUAUUUGAAAACAGUUCCUUCUCUGAUUUAAAAAAUAAAAAUAAUAAAAACAAAAAUUUGCUAAGUUACAGUGUAGAAAAGUUGGAGAUAUCAAAGUCCAUUUCUGGGAAAAAAUGAUUCUUGUUUCUUCAAGUGGAGCCAAUAUUCACAGUAUAAUCAUGGGAAGAGUCUUAUGCACAGGUUCUGGCAUCUUUCUUCUGCACUUCUCAGCUGUGCUGAGCAGUGCUGACCAUGGUACGACAUUGCUGAGGCAUUUUGAAUUUCAUCUGCUGUGAUAUCAGUGCAUGAAGAAAAUCCUGCUGUGAACUGUCUGCAUCCAAGCAUGUUGAUGACGGAUGGACGGAUCGGCUGGUUCUUACUGCCCUUGCAGUUGGACCCAUUGGAAGGGAAUUUGUCCUUAACGGGAAAGAGGGAUGAGGUCACAGGAGGGCUUUUGUGGUGCUGAAUGCUUACGCUGUAAUGGGAGUUACUCAUGGAGAGCAAGUGAAGAUGUAACCUACGGCAGAUUGCAAGGACCAGAAUAAAGGCAACCCUGCCAGACCGCAGCCCCGAGGCAGCCUGCAGGUUGCAAGAGAGGCACGCUCAGUGCUUUCUGCUGUCCGGAGACUUGGUGACACUCGCUGGCAGUGUGAGGAGCGUGGGCAGAGCUGCCAGAACACAGCUGGUGACCCUGGUGAGCAGCAGAGCAUGGGCCGGCCAGGGGAUGGAUCUGGGCAGGGCAAGAAACCUGCUGCGUCAGCUCAAGCUCAGUGUGCCUUGUGGGAACUUCAACUACUGUCUUAGGCUCCUGUCAUUCUCCAUGAGCCAGGCUCCCCAGGUAAAAUCACGGGUUUCCUGAGGAUUGCCCAGCGCAGGGACAUUUUUGCCAAAUGCUACAACACAGCAACAUGACCCUGCCCGGUUGUGAAUGCUCCAAUGUCUGGA